UACGUAGGGUGCAAGCGUUGUCCGGAAUUAUUGGGCGUAAAGAGCUCGUAGGCGGUUUGUCGCGUCUGCUGUGAAAACUCGGGGCUUAACUCCGGGCCUGCAGUGGGUACGGGCAGACUAGAGUGCGGUAGGGGAGACUGGAAUUCCUGGUGUAGCGGUGAAAUGCGCAGAUAUCAGGAGGAACACCGAUGGCGAAGGCAGCUCACUGGGACGGUACUGACGCUGAGACGCGAAAGCGUGGGGAGCAAACAGG
rnacentral:rRNA from 1 species